UGCAGCCUGCUCCGGCCGCCUGGCGGCCGCGGGAUUCGAUUGGAGGCAGCAGUCGAGAGGCUUUGGCAAUGGGGGAAACCCUGACCAAGCGACGCCGCGUGGGUGAUGAAGGCCUUCGGGUCGUAAAGCCCUGUCAUGGGAGAAGAACGACUAUCGGAUCAAUACCCCGGUAGUGUGACGGUAUCCCAGGAGGAAGCUCCGGCAAACUCCGUG
rnacentral:rRNA from 1 species